rnacentral:rRNA from 1 species
GACGAACGCUGGCGGCGUGCUUAACACAUGCAAGUCGAACGGUAAGGCCCUUCGGGGUACACGAGUGGCGAACGGGUGAGUAACACGUGGGUGAUCUACCCUGCACUUCGGGAUAAGCCUGGGAAACUGGGUCUAAUACCGGAUAGGACCACUGCCUGCAUGGGUGGUGGUGGAAAGCUUUUGCGGUGUGGGAUGGGCCCGCGGCCUAGCAGCUUGUUGGGGGGGUGAUGGCCUACCAAGGCGACGACGGAUAGCCGGCCUGAGAGGGUGACCGGCCACACUGGGACUGAGAUACGGCCCAGACUCCUACGGGAGGCAGCAGUGGGGAAUAUUGCACAAUGGGCGCAAGCCUGAUGCAGCGACGCCGCGUGAGGGAUGACGGCCUUCGGGUUGUAAACCUCUUUCAGCACCGACGAAGCGCAAGUGACGGUAGGUGCAGAAGAAGGACCGGCCAACUACGUGCCAGCAGCCGCCGUAA